GGGGUUGUGGCUCAGUGGUAGAGUGCUCGCCUCGCAUGUAAGAGACCCUGGGUUCGAUCCUCAGCACCACA
rnacentral:tRNA from 1 species